AACGAACGCUGGCGGCAUGCCUAACACAUGCAAGUCGAACGAGACCUUCGGGUCUAGUGGCGCACGGGUGCGUAACGCGUGGGAACAUGCCCUUAGGUUCGGAAUAACUCCCCGAAAGGGGUGCUAAUACCGGAUAAUGUCUUCGGACCAAAGAUUUAUCGCCUUUGGAUGGGCCCGCGUUGGAUUAGCUAGUUGGUAGGGUAAAAGCCUACCAAGGCGACGAUCCAUAGCUGGUCUGAGAGGAUGAUCAGCCACACUGGGACUGAGACACGGCCCAGACUCCUACGGGAGGCAGCAGUGGGGAAUAUUGGACAAUGGGCGAAAGCCUGAGCCAGCAAUGCCGCGUGAGUGAUGAAGGCCUUAGGGUUGUAAAGCUCUUUUACCCGGGAUGAUAAUGACAGUACCGGGAGAAUAAGCUCCGGCUAACUCCGUG
rnacentral:rRNA from 1 species